CUCCCAAUAUGGAAUUGCUGACAAGUUUUGAACAAUGAGAGUUAAGCUGAAAUGAGUCAAGCAGCAGUGGAGCCAACAUACUUUUGCUAGGAAGAAACUGUGAUCCAAAUGGUUUCGUUUAAGCUGAGAGAAAUCCUGUUUUUAAUAUUGAUUCUGACACCAGUGUUUCCAGAUGACUUACCUGUACCUAGGACCACAUUUCUCCACUACCACUUGGAGAAGAUUUACACUUGUGCAUUCAGGUGUCUGGAGCAGAACCAAGGACUUGAUAUGAACUCAGAAUAGGACAGUCAGGAAAAUAUGCAAGACCAGCUGAGUUGAACUGCACCACAUGGGGCAAAAUGGUUAGUAAAGAACUAACACUGAGCUCUGCUGAAUCUUGAAGCAAAGAAAGGCCCUCUUAUUUUGCUCUUGAACUUGUAUGAUUAUUGGAGCUGUGCACGAAUCAAAAUACUGUUUACUUUAUAGAAUUUACUUUUGAUUGUUAUCAUAUUAUGUAUCCAGAUCUGAUACUAUAAUCAAAGGUGCAAUUUAGUCACAACUUGAUUCCAAAUGAGUAAGAAGUCAGAGGACAGAAAUCACCACUAUGCCACAACAUCCACCACAGAAAGUCUUAACAGAGAAGCUAGGUGCAUCUAUAAACCCUGUCCCACAGGCCUUUCUCACAUCUGCUACAAUGGCUCUCUAGCAGCUCGAGGUAUGUCAGCUUGUCAUACUGUGAGUAAAUGCAAGGUAGAUUUUACAUAAACUGCAGGUCCUCAUCUGUGUUAGCAACCUAGUGAAACCA
ensembl:lncRNA